AUUGACCCAUGAUGUGCUAGAUGCAGAAUUAACUCGAGAUAAUCUCAAUUACUCUCACAAAUUAAUUUUGGGGGUUUCAUCUCAUAAGUGGCCUUCGAGAUAUUUCACACAUAAACACUUUCUUUUCAGCCCUUGGUAAAUAACAUAACUGGCUUUCAUUGAUGAAUUGUGAGAUAAGUCUAUUAUUGUAUACAGUAAAUUAUUAUGUUCGGCUAUCCUGUUUUACACAUGUAAUUUAGAUACUACACAAACACACAUAAUACAAACAAUUUAAUAAUCAAGCUUGUAGAAAAUACAAAGGUAGGCUAUAGAAAAUAGAUAGAAAGAUUAAAAAUAACGAUUAAAUAAAAAUGUAUUAAAAUAAAUGAGAACUGCUCCAAAUGAAAGGUGGAUGAGUUAAUAAUAUGAUUUUAAGUUAAUAAUAUGCUCAUAUUUGAAAACAGCUAAUGGCAGUCUACUGUAGUGUCCUGCUGUGCUGCACUAGAGGGCGCAGUGAGCACUAGAUUGAGGAGCAGCGCUGAUGCUCACAGCUCUCGCCGGGUGCAGUGGCGCGCGCCUGUAAUCCAAGCUGCUGGGAGGCUGAGGCUGGCGGAUCGCUUGAGUUCAGGGGUUCUGGGCUGCAGUGGACUAUGUCGAUCGGGUGUCCGCGCUAAGUUCGGUAUCGAUAUGGUGCUCCUGGGGGAGCUCGGGACCACCAGGAGCACCAUAUCGAUACCGAACUUAGCGCGGACACCCGAUCAACAUAGUCCACUGCAGCCCAGAACCCCUGAACUCAAGUGAUCCGCCAGCCUCAGCCUCCCAGCAGCUUGGAUUACAGGCGCGCGCCACUGCACCCGGCGAGAGCUGUGAGCACCAGCGCUGCUACUCAAUCUAGUGCUCACUGACCUCUAGUGCAGGACAGCAGGACACUACAGUAGACUGCCAUUAGCUGUUGAGAAGAGCGAUCUAGUUUUUAAAUAUGCUUGCCGCAUUUUCACAAGUGUUACUUCUACAAAGCACUCAUCUGUAUCCCUUUCAAAUUUGAGCAUAUUAUUGACUCAAAAUCAUAUUAUUAACUCAUCCACCUUUCAUUUGGAGCUGUUCUCUUUUAUUUUAAUACAUUUUUAUUUAAUCGUUAUUUGUAAUCUUUAUGUCUAUUUUCUAUAGCCUACCUUUGUAUUUUCUACAAGCUU
ensembl:lncRNA